rnacentral:rRNA from 1 species
GAGUUUGAUCGUGGCUCAGGAUGAACGCUGGCGGCGUGCUUAACACAUGCAAGUCGAACGAUGAUCCCAGCUUGCUGGGGGAUUAGUGGCGAACGGGUGAGUAACACGUGAGUAACCUGCCCUUGACUCUGGGAUAAGCCUGGGAAACUGGGUCUAAUACCGGAUAUGACCUUCCAUCGCAUGGUGGUUGGUGGAAAGCUUUUGUGGUUUUGGAUGGACUCGCGGCUAUCAGCUUGUUGUGAGGUAAUGGCUUACCAAGGCGACGACGGGUAGCCGGCCUGAGAGGGUGACCGGCCACACUGGGACUGAGACACGGCCCAGACUCCUACGGGAGGCGAGCAGUGGGGAAUA